rnacentral:rRNA from 1 species
GACGAACGCUGGCGGCGUGCUUAACACAUGCAAGUCGAACGGAAAGGCCCUGCUUUUGUGGGGUGCUCGAGUGGCGAACGGGUGAGUAACACGUGAGUAACCUGCCCUUGACUUUGGGAUAACUUCAGGAAACUGGGGCUAAUACCGGAUAGGAGCUCCUGCUGCAUGGUGGGGGUUGGAAAGUUUCGGCGGUUGGGGAGGUACUCGCGGCUUAUCCGCUUGUUGGUGGGGUGGGGAUUACCAAGGCUUUGAAGGGUAACCGGCCUGAGACGGUGACCGGGCACAUUGGGACUGAGAUACGGACCAGACGCCUACGGGAGGCAGCAGUCGGGAGUAUUGCACAAUGGGCGGAAGCCUGAUGCAGCAACGCCGCGUGCGGGAUGACGGCCUUCGGGGUGUAAACCGCUUUCGCCUGUGACGAAGCGUGAGUGACGGUAAUGGGUAAGGAAGCACCGGCUAACUACGUG